GUGUUCACUUUGGCAGCACAUGCACAAAAAUUGGAACAAUACAGAGAAGAUUCAUAAGGUGUCUGCGCAAGGAUGACAUACAAAUUUGUGAGGUGUUCCACAUAAAA